ACUGCUCAGUAACACGUGGACAACCUGCCCUUAGGACGGGGAUAAACCCGGGAAACUGGGUAUAAUACCCGAUAGGUCUCGAUUGCUGGAAUGCAUCGAGAUUUAAAGCUCCGGCGCCUAAGGAUGGGUCUGCGGCCUAUCAGGUAGUAGUGGGUGUAGCGUACCUACUAGCCUACGACGGAUACGGGUUGUGAGAGCAAGAGCCCGGAGAUGGAUUCUGAGACACGAAUCCAGGCCCUACGGGGUGCAGCAGGCGCGAAAACUUUACAAUGCUGGCAACAGCGAUAAGGGAACCUCGAGUGCCAGGUUACAAAUCUGGCUGUCGAGAUGCCUAAAAAGCAUUUCAUAGCAAGGGCCGGGCAAGACCGGUGCCAGCCGCCGCGGUAACACCGGCGGCUCGAGUGGUAACCGUUAUUAUUGGGUCUAAAGGGUCUGUAGCCGGCCGGAUAAGUCUCUUGAGAAAUCUGGCAGCUUAACUGUCAGGCUUUCAGGAGACACUGUCUGGCUCGAGGCCGGGAGAGGUGAGAGGUACUUCAGGGGUAGGGGUGAAAUCUUGUAAUCCUUGAAGGACCACCAGUGGCGAAGGCGUCUCACCAGAACGGACCUGACGGCAAGGGACGAAAGCUAGGGGCACGAACCGGAUUAGAUACCCGGGUAGUCCUAGCCGUAAACGAUACUCGCUAGGUGUCGGCCACGGUGCGACCGUUGUCGGUGCCGUAGGGGAGCCGUGAAGCGAGCCACCUGGGAAGUACGGCCGCAAGGCUGAAACUUAAAGGAAUUGGCGGGGGAGC
rnacentral:rRNA from 1 species